UACGGGGGGGGCAAGCGUUGUUCGGAAUUACUGGGCGUAAAGGGGACGUAGGCGGCCAACUAAGUCCGACGUGAAAUCCCAAGGCUUAACCUUGGAACUGCGUCGGAUACUGGAUGGCUUGAAUUCGGGAGAGGGAUGCAGAAUUCCAGGUGUAGCGGUGAAAUGCGUAGAUAUCUGGAGGAACACCGGUGGCGAAGGCGGCAUCCUGGACCAACACUGACGCUGAGGAGCGAAAGCCAGGGGAGCAAACGGG
rnacentral:rRNA from 1 species